rnacentral:rRNA from 1 species
CCUACGGGCGGCUGCAGUGAGGAAUAUUGGGCAAUGGGGGCAACCCUGACCCAGCAAUGCCGCGUGCGGGAAGACGGUCUUCGGAUUGUAAACCGCUUUUCUGGGGGAGCAGACAAGGAGCGUACCCCAGGAAUAAGUCACGGCUAACUACGUGCCAGCAGCCGCGGUAAUACGUAGGUGGCGAAUGUUAUCCGGAAUAACUGGGCGUAAAGGGUCCGCAGGCGGCUCUGUAGGUCUGACGUGAAAGUCCUCGGCUAAACUGAGGGAGUGCGUUGGAAACCACAGGGCUGGCAUCGUGCAGGGGCUGGUGGAAUUCCCGGUGUAGUGGUGGAAUGCGUAGAGAUCGGGAGGAACCUCAAGAGCGCAGGCAGCCGGCUAGGCAACGAUGGACGCUGAGGGACGAAAGCGUGGGGAGCGAACAGGCUUAGAUACCCCUGUAGUC